GACGAACGCUGGCGGCGUGCUUAACACAUGCAAGUCGAACGCUGAAGCUCAGCUUUUGUUGGGUGGAUGAGUGGCGAACGGGUGAGUAACACGUGAGUAACCUGCCCCCUUCUUUGGGAUAACGCCCGGAAACGGGUGCUAAUACUGGAUAUUCACUGGUCUUCGCAUGGGGGUUGGUGGAAAGGGUUUUUCUGGUGGGGGAUGGGCUCGCGGCCUAUCAGCUUGUUGGUGGGGUGAUGGCCUACCAAGGCUUUGACGGGUAGCCGGCCUGAGAGGGUGACCGGUCACAUUGGGACGGAGAUACGGCCCAGACUCCUACGGGAGGCAGCAGUGGGGAAUAUUGCACAAUGGGCGCAAGCCUGAUGCAGCGACGCCGCGUGAGGGAUGGAGGCCUUCGGGUUGUGAACCUCUUUCGCUAAUGGUCAAGCCGCAACAAUGGUUGUGGUGAGGGUAGUGGGUAAAGAAGCGCCGGCUAACUACGUG
rnacentral:rRNA from 1 species